rnacentral:lncRNA from 1 species
CCGACUAAUAUAAAAAAAGUGGAUGUAAUUGAAGUCCUUCAAAGCAUACUUAAAAUUUUUCAAACGGGCAUAAAUUCUCUAAAUAUCUUAUCGGUCAGUUAGGUUGCACUUCUUAUCCUAUACUUGUUGGUGUUGGUUCUUGCUUGAUGAUGCUUUAAUUUGUUCCUAAUUUUAUAUUUUUGUCCAUUGUUGUGUUCUUUAUCGUUUGGGUGAUGGAAAUUUUGCUCUUCCUAAACUCAUAUUGCUAGUUUGUUGUGAGUAUGAUUCAAUUCUUUUCUUUUUGUUUCCUUAUUUUUACUUUUUAGUGUUAUUUCGUUUUGUUUCUUUCUAUUGUUUCCCUUAUUUUGUUCGUUUUCUUGCUGGUGAUUAUAUUAUCUUUUAUUGUGUUGUUGGUUUUAAUUGUUUGACUGCUCGUUCUUGUUGUGUUUAUUUCCCUAGUUUCUUUAAUUAUGUUGCCAAUUUAUUGGUUU